rnacentral:lncRNA from 1 species
AAUGCCAGUUUCUAACUCCCAGAAACCCAUUCUAGGACCCAAACACAUGUGAUCUCUUUGGGAAAUUUUCUAGUUCAGUUCAACAAAUGGUAGGCUUUAUCGAUGGUCUCCAGUCCUCUGUGAUGAGUUACUUGGUCUUGUUGCUAUCAUCAAGAGUAUGUAAGAGGUGGUUCAUUUGAAAGAAGAAUAGCAUUGCUUCUAUGGUCCCGCCUUGUUCUGUACACUGUCUUACUGAUUCUGCUGAGGGCUUGUACCCUGCACCAAAGCAUGAUUCCCGGAACACACUCCUUCGCCAGCCCCCAGGCCCUGGUAUAUGCUGUCUCUGCCUAGAAGAUUCCAUCUGCUUUCACCAUUUCCAAAUGCAGAGUCCCAACUUCAAGGCCCAGCUUUAGUGUCAAGCUGUCCACAAAGGUUUUCCAGAUCCCUCCUGGACUCUUCCUCCCUUGUGUUUCCAUGGCCCUUUCCUGUACUUAAAAAAAGAGCAUGCACCACAAUCUGCUGAGUGUUCUACUUAUUACAUUCACAUCAGCCUCAUGGUCUAUAGAGGGCAAACCAGGGUAUCUAGAAAAAUGCCUUAUAUACAUCAGAUUCUCAAUAAACAUCAAGUUUCUUAUUUAUCA